rnacentral:rRNA from 1 species
UACGGGGGGGGCAAGCGUUGUUCGGAAUUACUGGGCGUAAAGGGCUCGUAGGCGGCCAACUAAGUCAGACGUGAAAUCCCCAAGCUUAACUUGGGAACUGCAUCCGAUACUGGAUGGCUUGAAUCCGGGAGAGGGAUGCAGAAUUCCAGGUGUAGCGGUGAAAUGCGUAGAUAUCUGGAGGAAUACCGGUGGCGAAGGCGGCAUCCUGGACCGAGAUUGACACUGAUGAGCGAAAGCUAGGGGAGCAAACGGG